GGACGAAGCUGUCCGCCGCCAUUUUGCUUGUGGGCUGCUGCCCGCCGUUACCUCUCCACCGCGACUAGAAGACAGCCAACUGGAGGCAGAGCGGUGGACAGAAUCUCCGUCUAUUUCACAACAGAUGCAUUCAACAAUUCACCGAAGGCCACCCUCCCACUCAUCAAUCCCCAUCAGCACGCUCUCUGGCCCCUGACUGCAGUGAUGCAAGAAAACAGUGAGAUAGGAAGCUACACACCAGUUACCAGCCCUUCGAUAUUCUCUAAUGCCUUUUUACACCAACCAGAAAGAAUGUGAGCUCCAGGCCAUCAGCACCUCCUCUGUCUUGCUCAUGAGUGCACCGCCAGCUCCCAGUCCUGAGCCUGAUGGCAGGUGAUCAACAAAUACUUGCUGAACGAAUGGAAGAAUUAAGAAACAGAAGAGCAUCUCCCUCUCCCCCGCCAAUAAUCCACUAGGUCAGUGCUUCUCACACUUCAAUAUGUUUAAGAAUUGCCCACGUAGCUUGUUAAAUAUGCAGAUUUUGAUUCAGCAGGUCGGGGUGAAGCCUGGGAAUCUGCAUUUCUAACAAUCUCCCAGGUGAUGCUGCUGCUGGUCCCACACUCUAAGAUGCAAGGCCCUGGAAUGAGUUUCCUGAGGAGAGACUGUGUCCUAUUCAUCUUUGUACUCUCAGCUCAGUGAUGUGCUUGGUAUAUAAUAAGUGCUCAAAAGUUGUUUGUUGAAUGAAUGGCUAAAACCAGCCAGUCACAGGAAUCUAUGAAAAACCCAGCAAAGCAAAUCUUGAGAGACUGGUGGAGGUACUCAGUGACCUGAAACCUCAAUGUGGACUUCUUGGGGGCUUUCAAUUCCUUCCACCUCCAUUAAAGAGCUGGGCAGAGGGAGCUGAGGCGGGGGAGGGGUUCUCCCAUCCUGAACCUACAAAUAGAGAUUUUAGCACUUGGUUGUCACAAUAAUUUUAAAAAAAAUAUAAAUACACAGAGAGGUAGCUAAGAAAUGAAAAAUGUACAACCUGAGACAGACCUAGUACAUUUUCUUUUUCCUUUCUUCACCUAGCUUCUCCUAUUUUUUAGCCUUUAUAUUCUCUGCCUUUCUUUAUCUCUCUUUUUCUUUCUGUCUGUCUCUUCCAACUUCAUUUCCAUCUGACAGACUGAUUUGAACACAGGAGAGUUGGAGGAUAACUGUUCAAACUGUUUUUCUGACUCCUCACACAAAGCUUUGCUGAGACGGGGCUGAAAAUGGCCUAAGGAUCAGGUCCUGGUGACCUUGCACUAUUCCUGUGUGCAAGGGACAAUUCACCCUUGACAUCAGGCACAACACUAUCUCAUAUGACCUUUCCUAGGAAAUAAAUAAUUCAUGAGGAGGAAUUUCGAUUGUUAAUUCAUGAACAUCUCUUUUGUCUUCUUCCUCCCCUUGUCCCCCUGAAGGAAUACUGUAGAAUCUAGUAAAAGCAAGGAAACAGGCACAAUUACUGGUAGGCUCCCCCCAGCAUGUUGAGAAUAGAAUGUGGUGCUGACUUAUCAGUCCUAACAAUAUUCACCGUCCGGUUUUAACAGGAAGCCAUUCCGCACUUUACACAGGUUGAAAGGCUUUUAAUAAUGAAGUCCAAAGACACGCCCGUCAGAGGGGGAGAGUGUAGUACCUUCAUUCUUAGUGUAUUUCACGAGAACUCAUAGAUUGGGUGUCAAUCUUACUACAUCAUCCCUGCCUUAGUGACUUCUAAGCACUCUUCCGUGCACAGAAAUUACAAAUUUUUCAUAAUUGUGUUGCCUUUGCAUUUCAUGAACUAUCCUGAAAACAUGUGUGUAAUGGGUUAUAUCUGCUCGGCCCUACAAAAAUGUGUAACUUCAUUCUGUCUUUGCAGAUUGCCUGUGAUGUGCACCACA